AACUCUCUCUGUUUCAUUCCCACAGGAUUCAUAAAAAUCCACACAAUUAAUCAUUUUCUCCAACACCUCCAAAUCCCACGGUUCAUGAUUUCUAAUUCGCAGAAAACGAAAUUCCACAAGCCCCACCUGCUCUUCUUCUUCUUCUUCUUCUUCUUCUGUGUUCAUUUAUGGGGUGUGGGCUGUUCUAAAAGUCUCAGAAAACCAUGACCAAGUCCAGGAAUUUCUUCAACAAUCUUAUGAAAACUUGUGGGUUCGGCUCCAGAAGAGACGGACGGAACGAAGAGGACUUGGAGAAGAUUGCUCAGCAGGAACAGAAGGUUUUUCCUUUCGAAACUUUGGUUGCUGCCACGAGGAAUUUCCACUCCACUCAUAAGCUCGGACAAGGCGGUUUCGGACCCGUUUAUAAGGGGAGGUUGGAGGAUGGGAGAGAAAUUGCAGUGAAGAAGUUGUCAGGGAGUUCAAAUCAAGGAAAGAGAGAGUUCUUGAACGAGGCCAAGUUGCUAGCUCGUGUGCAGCACCGUAAUGUUGUGAAUUUGUUGGGCUAUUGUGCACACGGGGUAGAGAAACUACUCGUUUAUGAGUAUGUCUCAAAUGAGAGCCUCGACAAGCUUCUCUUCAAUUCGAAUGGAAGGAAGGAGCUUGACUGGAAGCGGAGGUUUGAUAUAAUAUGUGGCAUUGCAAGGGGCUUGCUUUACCUUCAUGAAGAUUCGCAUAAUUGUAUUAUACAUCGCGACAUCAAGGCCAGCAAUAUUCUACUUGAUGAUAAAUGGAUCCCCAAGAUUGCUGAUUUUGGCAUGGCCCGCCUCUUUCCCGAAGACGAAACGCACGUCAAUACCCGCGUUGCUGGUACCAAUGGUUAUAUGGCUCCGGAGUAUGUUAUGCAUGGGCAUUUAUCAGCGAAGGCGGACGUGUUUAGCUUCGGAGUUGUGGUUUUGGAGCUGAUUAGUGGCCAAAGAAAUUCAUCGUUCAACGGAAAUGUUGAUGCGCAGAAUCUGCUUGAUUGGGCGUACAAGCUUUACAAGAAGGAGAGAAGCAUGGAGUUUAUGGACCCGACAUUAGCAUCAUCAGCAGUCCCCGAGCAAGUAGCGAUGUGUAUUCAGAUGGGAUUGCUCUGCAUACAAGGUGAUCCCACAAUCCGCCCCACAAUGCAUCGUGUGGUUGUGAUCCUAUCCAAGAAACCAAGCCAAUUGGAAGAGCCAAUGAGGCCGGGAGUACCUGGAUCAAGAUAUAGAAGAUCUCGCCUGCCAGCAGGGAUUUCAUCCACUGCCGGAACUUCUGGUGAAUCAAAUUCCCGUUAUUCAGAUUCGAGCUUUUCUGCAACCGGAACCAGUUCAGUAGCCGGAACCAGUUCAGUAGCCGGAACCAUUUCAGCAGCAGCCCCAGAACAAGAUACCCGUGGUAAACGUCCGGUGGAAAGAUAGCUAUGUACCAGAGAGGCACUUUGACAUUUGACACGUGUCCACACCAAACUCAAUAUAUAAGGAAAAGGAUCAUUGCCGGAUCAUUUUCUUAGAGAUCCUAGGGAUUCCAUGAUCUCAUUCGUUCAUCAUAUAUCGUGCGGUAAGAUCACGGGAUCCUUAAGAAAAGGAUCCGGCGAUGAUCAUUAACGCAUAUGCAUUUUUGACCAGACAGAAAUGAAGAAUGUAUCCAUUCGUAAUUUUACUCAAGCACGGCAAUGGAGGAUGGUGAGACCCAACAAGUCAAAGGUCCUAAUUUUACGUGUGUUGAAGUAAAGUAUAGGGUAAAUUACAUUUUACCCCCUCAGGUUUGAUGUUGAUUUUAAUUCCUUACAACAUUUUUAAAACAUUUCAAUUUCAUACAUAUACUUAUCAUUUUAUUUCAAUU